AACACAUCCUCCAGCACUUUUGCUUGGUAUUGGAGGCAGAUGUCCGCAUCUCCUCUUAAAUCCCUCAGCGGAAACUACUGCAGUCUCAGGUGUGAUAAGAUUACCUUUCGCUUGAUAACUGCCGGUAGGUUCUUGCUGUGAAGAGCCCCCCAGCUAUUCUUUUAC
rnacentral:misc_RNA from 2 species